rnacentral:lncRNA from 10 species
CAAGCGUGAGCCACUGUGCCUGGCCCUUAUAAGGAUUUUUAUAUGCCUUUAGUGUCAGUUGCAGUGAGUGUGGGAAGACACUUUUGCCUUUCCAGAACUAACUAUAAAUUGCUUUUAAUUCUGAGGCUGAUGUUUUUUUUAAAUCAGCUUUGCAAUUUAAUGAUCAGCUGCCUCCUCUUAAGCUACGUCUUGCUUUUUAUCUUCGUUUAACUGAUGUUCCAGUGGAUGGUAUGAAUAAUAGUCUGUUGUUUUGCAUUUUGUACUUUUUGACUUUUGCAUGGCAAGGAAGUUAAAUCAGCAAGUGAGUUUGAGGUCUUGGAUUUAGAGUGUUUACCCACAAAAUGCCAUCCUUCUGCUAUUAUAAAUAAUUGGGAAUUGGCAGGAGCAAAUGCCAAGCACUGGGCUUUCAGCCUUUUAGCUGGGCGCUACUAACGUGUCACUUUGUCUAGAAGUAACUGUUGGUAGUUGCUUAGCAAUUAAUCGGUUGCAUAACAGGAAGUGUUGCCAUCACAUAAAAAUUCCUUAUUGAUAGAACUCAGUAAAGAUGAAUGUUUGUCACAAAGGCCUUGAAGAGCUCUUAAAAGAUUAAAGGCUUGAGCCAGUGUGCCUGGCCCAUUUGUCAUCUUUCAGUGUGCAAAAU